AUGGACACAUGCAGGCAGAACACUGU
rnacentral:piRNA from 1 species